CUAAGAUAUUACUAAGUACAUUUUAAAGAUAUUUUUUAACAAAAUGAAUUUCAAAAGUGUAGUUUUGAUUAUAUCAACUGUGUUAUGCAUUAUCAUAUCUAUUGCUCAAGGUCAACCAAUGCCAGAACCCUGGGCAAUUGUAACCGCACAACCACUGGGAGGUAGGAGACCAACACCUUCCACGGAUCCACCACCACAAGCUCCAGGACCACCAGCUCCAGCGCCACAAGCACCACAGCCACAACAAUAAAAGUGUAAUUCAAUAUGUAAUAUUAUCACUCGUUUUUCAAAUGACCCAAUUAAUGCUGAAAAUGAUUAACUAUUAUAUUUUAAUUUUUUUAUAACCGAUUGUUUCACACAAAAUAGUUUGAUACUUUAAAAUCACAAUUAUUUUGAAAUUAAAACAAUGGAUACUAGUAAAUCCUAAGAUUUUAUUUAAAAUGGAAACGGCUUGUACUAUGUAUACUAUACUGGAAUAUACUAUAUAUUCUAAAAUC